CACCGUCUUGGUCCUAGACUUAGAGUUACUUUAAGCCCCCCCUACACAUGCAAGCCUCCACACACCAGUGCGUAACCCUAUUAUACAGUACACAAUAGAUCAUAUAUCAGGCACACAUUAGUAGCCCAAAACAUCUAGCCCAUGCCACACCCACACGGAAUUCAGCAGUGACAAACAUUAGGCCAUAAGCCAUAUUUUAAAGCUAGACCUAGGUACAGCAACAAAAGGACCGGUAAACUCCGUGCCAGCCACCGCGGUUACACGAAGGGUCCAAAGUAACAUUUAACGGCGUAAAACGUGACCAGAAAUCAACUCAUCAAGCAGCCUUUAAACCCAAAGAUAGUUGUAAAACACACAUAUCCUGGAGAAACGGGCCUCACUAGAAAAUUUUUUUGCCCUCACGAAAUCUAAGAAACAAACUAGGAUUAGAUACCCUACUAUGCUCAGACCUUAACCAAGUCAGAACUCACUACCCCCACUGCCCGCCAGAGAACUACACGCACAAAGCGCAAAACUCAAAGGACUUGACGGUGUCCCAUACCGACCUAGAGGAGCCUGUCCUAUAAUCGAUACCCCACGCCACACCUCACCCUCUUUAGCCAAAACCCACUUCAGCCUAUAUACCGCCGUCGCCAGCCUACCUUAUGACAGAAACCAAAGUAAGCACAAUAAUGUCCUAUCAUUAAAACGUCAGGUCAAGGUGUAGCUAAUAAGGGGGCAAGAAAUGGGCUACAUUUUCUUAAUAAGAUGCCACCAACAGGAAAAUGAAAACCUCCCACCAAGCUGGAUUUAGCAGUAAAACGGGUAAGUUUGCCCGCUUGAAGCCCGUCCUGGGACGCGUACACACCGCCCGUCACCCUCCUCAUCACAUCAGCACCCACUAAUUAAAUCGCUACAACAACACUAGAGGAGGCAAGUCGUAACAUGGUAAGUGUACUGGAAAGUGCACUUGGUACAAC
rnacentral:ncRNA from 1 species